GUGCUUCGGCAGCACAUAUACUAAAAUUGGAACGAUACAGAGAAGAUUAGCAUGGCCCCUGGGCAAGGGCAAACAUUUAUUACUUGACUACAUUCAAAACCUGU